GCCGGUGUAGCCCAAUUGGUAGAGGCGGUGGGUUUAAAACCUUCCCCAGUGUGAGUUCGAGUCUCACCACCGGCA
rnacentral:tRNA from 1 species